rnacentral:tRNA from 1 species
GAGGGUAUAGCUCAGUGGGAGAAUGUGUGCUUAGCAUGCACGAGGUCCUGGGCUCAAUCUCCAGUACUUCCA